AGUGAACGCUGGCGGUAGGCCUAACACAUGCAAGUCGAACGGAAGCACAGUAAGAGCUUGCUCUUACGGGUGGCGAGUGGCGGAUGGGUGAGGAAUACAUAGGCAUCUACUUUUUCGUGGGGGAUAACGUAGGGAAACUUACGCUACUACCGCAUACGAUCUACGGGUGAAAGCAGGGGAUCUUCGCACUUUGCGCGAUUGAAUGAGCCGAUGUCGGAUUAGCUAGUUGGCGGGGUAAAGGCCCACCAAGGCGACGAUCCGUAGCUGGUCUGAGAGGAUGAUCAGCCACACUGGAACUGAGACACGGUCCAGACUCCUACGGGAGGCAGCAGUGGGGAAUAUUGGACAAUGGGCGCAAGCCUGAUCCAGCCAUACCGCGUGAGUGAAGAAGGCCUUCGGGUUGUAAAGCCCUUUUGUUAGGAAAGAAAAGCAGCAGAUUAAUACCCCGCUAUUCUGACGGUACCCAAAGAAUAAGCACCGGCUAACUUCGUG
rnacentral:rRNA from 1 species